rnacentral:rRNA from 1 species
CAGCAGCCGCGGUAAUACGGAGGGGGCUAGCGUUGUUCGGAAUUACUGGGCGUAAAGCGCACGUAGGCGGCUUUACAAGUCAGAGGUGAAAGCCUGGAGCUCAACUCCAGAAUUGCCUUUGAGACUGUAUCGCUUGAGCACGGGAGAGGUGAGUGGAAUUCCGAGUGUAGAGGUGAAAUUCGUAGAUAUUCGGAAGAACACCAGUGGCGAAGGCGGCUCACUGGACCGUUGUUGACGCUGAGGUGCGAAAGCGUGGGGAGCAAACAGGAUUAGAUACCCCAGUAGUCCCUGUCUCUUAUAA